GGUCCGUUGGUCAAGGGGUUAAGACACCGCCUUUUCACGGCGGUAACACGGGUUCGAAUCCCGUACGGACUAUUU
rnacentral:tRNA from 12 species